UUACGGCCAUAUUACGUUGAAACAUUGGUUCUCGUACGAUCACCGAAGUUAAGCAACGCUGAGCCUGGUCAGUACCUAGAUGGGUGACCGCUUGAGAAUACCAGGUACUA
rnacentral:rRNA from 1 species